UGCUAAUACCUGAUGUGCCGAGAGGUGAAACUUUUAUGGCCUGUGGAUGAGCUCGCGUCUGAUUAGCUAGUUGGUGGGGUAAAGGCUUACCAAGGCGACGAUCAGUAGCUGGUCUGAGAGGAUGAUCAGCCACACUGGAACUGAGACACGGUCCAGACUCCUACGGGAGGCAGCAGUGGGGAAUUUUCCGCAAUGGGCGAAAGCCUGACGGAGCAAGACCGCGUGGGGGAUGAAGGUUUGUGGAUUGUAAACCCCUUUUGAUUGGGAAGAAUAACUGACGGUACCAAUCGAAUAAGCCUCGGCUAACUCCGUGCCAGCAGCCGCGGUAAUACGGAGGAGGCAAGCGUUAUCCGGAAUUAUUGGGCGUAAAGCGUCCGUAGGUGGUUUAGUAAGUCUGCUGUUAAAGCGCGGGGCUUAACCCNGUAUCGGCAGUGGAAACUACUAGACUAGAGUGUGGUAGGGGUAGAGGGAAUUCCCAGUGUAGCGGUGAAAUGCGUAGAUAUUGGGAAGAACACCGGUGGCGAAGGCGC
rnacentral:rRNA from 1 species